CCGUUCAGCAGCGCCUAUACUAAAAUCGGAAGGAUACAGAGAUUAGCGUGGCCCCUGCGCAAGGAUGAUAUGCAAAUUCAUAAAGCGUUCCAUAUUUUU
ensembl:snRNA U6 U6 spliceosomal RNA